rnacentral:lncRNA from 1 species
UUCUUUCCUCCCUUUCUGCCUUCUUUCCACAGAUAGUUAUUGAGCACCUACUAUGUGCCAGCCUCUGUACUAGGCACUGGGAGACACAAUGGUGAAUGGAACAGGCAGAGAACUCUGUCCUUGAGGAGCUCAUGUUCUAAAGAGGAUGCUGGGACUUCCCUGGCGGUCCAGUGGUUAAGACUCCGCACUUCCAAGGCAGGGGGCGCGGUUUCGAUCCCUGGUUGAGGAACUAAAAUCCCACGUGCUGCGCGGUGUGGCCAAAAAAAAAGGAAAAAAAAUUUAAAAUAUAUAGAGGAUGCUAGUCACCAACGCAGUCAUCCUGCAAACAAAGUGCAGAACUGCAGCUGGAGAAGGUGCAGGGGGCUGAGGCUCUGGGUGCCAUGGGCACCUGUAGCAAGUGGCUGGACCUCUGGGGGGGUGGGAGUGUCUCCUGGUGGAGGUGUGACCCUGCAGUGGCUCACUGGGCAACGCAAAGUUUGCAUCUCCUCAGGAGGCUCAGCGAGGACAGCCGCGGGAGUGAGUGGGACACACGUUAUACAAGGGGAAACCCUGGGGCGCUGACCCUGCCCUCCCAUCCCGGAAGGGUCUCUGAGGAAGUGACGCCCUGAACACAGAGCCGGAUCCGUGGCGACCGCGAAGAAUCUUCCCUUCCCGGCAGAGGCACCAGCCAUGCAAAGGCAGGAAGGCUGCCACACCCCUAGGAAGCUGGAGGCUUUGCACGGGAUGCCCCCCUCUGGCCUGGCUUUCUCCUUUUGUGGAAAGGGAACAGUCGCCCGCCCACCCCCACAAGCGGGGAUGCUGUUCCUGGUGGUGGGUCAGGCCUCUGUGGACCCCCUCGAGUCCUGGAAGAUGAUCGUGUCUGCGGGCUUGGGGAGACAGAGAAGAGAAUGUAGACUGAACAGCUCUCCAACUCCAGACUUUGAGGCAGGAUCCUGAGGUACUUAGAAGGAAAUGACAAGCAGCCUCAUUUACAAUUGAAGGAAACUGAGGUACAACAACAAAAUAAUAAAAUCUAAUGCUUACUGAGCUCUUACUCCAAGCCAGGCACAGUGCUAAGCCCUUUGACCCAAGUUCUUUCAUUUAAUCCCCCCAACGAUCAUCACUGUCGGAAGCUAAUACCGUGACCCCUAUUUUACAAGUGUGGGAAUGAAGACUCGGGAGGUAAGUCAAGACCAUGCCUCCUGUUAAUGGGGGAUCUGGGAUGAGCAUGCAGAUCUGGC